UGUAUCAUGGCUCACAGCUGGCCGCUCGUUUACAUGCCUAAUACAUGCAAGUCGAGCGAACAGAGAAGGAGCUUGCUCCUUUGACGUAGCGGCGGACGGGUGAGUAACACGUGGGCAACCUACCUUAUAGUUGGGAUAACUCCGAGGAAACCGGGGACUAAUACCGAAUAAUCUAUUUUACUUACAUGGAUGAAAAUCACUGAAAAGACGGAUUUCGAGACUGAUCGCUAUAAGAUGGGCCCGCGGACGCAUUAGCUAGUUGGUGAGGNUAACGGCUCACCAAGGGCGACGAUGCGUAGCCGACCUGAGAGGGUGAUCGGCCACACUGGGACUGAGACACGGCCCAGACUCCCUU
rnacentral:rRNA from 1 species